rnacentral:rRNA from 1 species
UACGUAGGGGGCUAGCGUUGUCCGGAUUUAUUGGGCGUAAAGAGCGUGUAGGCGGCCAGGUAGGUCCGCUGUGAAAGUCCGAGGCUCAACCCCGGAAUGUCGGCGGAAACCCUCUGGCUAGAGUCCGGAAGAGGAGAGUGGAAUUCCCGGUGUAGCGGUGAAAUGCGCAGAUAUCGGGAAGAACACCCGUGGCGAAGGCGGCUCUCUGGAACGGUACUGACGCUGAGACGCGAAAGCGUGGGGAGCGAACAGG